AAUUUUGGACAAUGGGGGAAACCCUGAUCUAGCCAUCCCGCGUGUAUGAUGUAGGCCUUCGGGUUGUAAGUAAUUUUGGCAGAGAAGAAAAGGUAACUCCUAAUACGAGAUACUGCUGACGGUAUCUGCAGAAUAAGCACCGGCUAACUACGUACCAGCAGACGCGGUAAUACGUAGGGUGCAAGCGUUAAUCGGAAUUACUGGGCGUAAAGCGUGUGUAGGCGGUUCGGAAAUGAAGAUGUGAAGACCCAGGGCUCAACCUUGGAACUGCAUUUUUAACUGCCGAGCUAGAGUAUGUCAGAGGGAGGUAGAAUUCCACGUGUAGUAGUGAAAUGCGUAGAUAUGUGGAGGAAUACCGAUGGCGAAGGCAGCCCCCUGGGAUAAUACUGACGCUCAGACACGAAAGCGUGGGGAGCAAAC
rnacentral:rRNA from 1 species